GUCGACUAUUUAUCCUUACUCACUUCUGUGUUUUGGCUUGUUUAGAUCAUCAUUUGUUUAGCUAACCUGCGAUCGUUGCCGUGAUUUGCGAAGGAAACUGCGAUUCUUAGGCAGCGAGGGAGCGAGAUGAAUCUGGCCGUGCCGCCAUUACAUUUAUAAAGAGAAGGACUCGGGGUUGGUGGCCUUUCCGUGCUCAGACAGGUGUUACGUAACAUCAAUAUGCUCACGCGCGAAAAAUCAAGCCAAUGGACGAUCAUAGACUUGAUUCGGGCUCUACUGAUGCUGGGUUCUCCGUGCGUCGCUAGCUUAGUGCCA